UGGGGAAUUUUGGACAAUGGGCGAAAGCCUGAUCCAGCAAUGCCGCGUGUGUGAAGAAGGCCUUCGGGUUGUAAAGCACUUUUGUCCGGAAAGAAAUCCUUGGCUCUAAUACAGUCGGGGGAUGACGGUACCGGAAGAAUAAGCACCGGCUAACUACGUGCCAGCAGCCGCGGUAAUACGUAGGGUGCAAGCGUUAAUCGGAAUUACUGGGCGUAAAGCGUGCGCAGGCGGUUUGCUAAGACCGAUGUGAAAUCCCCGGGCUCAACCUGGGAACUGCAUUGGUGACUGGCAGGCUAGAGUAUGGCAGAGGGGGGUAGAAUUCCACGUGUAGCAGUGAAAUGCGUAGAGAUGUGGAGGAAUACCGAUGGCGAAGGCAGCCCCCUGGGCCAAUACUGACGCUCAUGCACGAAAAGCGUGGGGGAGCAAACAGGAUUAGAUACCCUGGUAGUCCACGCCCUAAACGAUGUCAACUAGUUGUUGGGGAUUCAUUUCCUUAGUAACGUAGCUAACGCGUGAAGUUGACCGCCUGGGGAGU
rnacentral:rRNA from 1 species